rnacentral:rRNA from 1 species
GGUACCGUCAAGCCUCGAGGGUAUUAUCCCCGAGGUUUUCUUCCCAAUCUGACAGAGCUUUACAACCCAUAGGGCCUUCUUCGCUCACGCGGCGUCGCUCCGUCAGGGUUUCCCCCAUUGCGGAAGCUUCUCG